GCAAUUCUAGUGGGAGAGAUAAGCUACUUUUUCAUAGCAGCAGCCAGCACCUGCAAAGGCAGCGUUUGCCUUCUCUCCCCAGCCAGCUCUUUAGAAUCACUAAUUGGAGAAACAGAAUACAUCACGAGAGUCCCUAGCCCUUCACCCAUCUGCAACCGCACAAGGAUUAUCACAGGCUCAGUGGGAUGUUUCAAUUACCUCCUCUUGUUGAAAUAUUGGCAGUGCCUCAUUGGUUUCCGGGCUUCCCCUGUGACCCCCGGACACUUCUCUAUAAGGAGAAGCGUCCAUUCCUAGCUCGCAAAGCUCUCGGAAAGCAUUUGAGCCAGUAGGAGGCGGCCCAUGCUAUGAAGGAGUGAAAACAAGCUGUUUCAGUUAAGGAUUCAGGAUUCUAAGGCCAGAAGGAAUCACUGUGAUCAUCUAGGCUGACCCCCUGUAUAACACGGGCCAUAGAACCUCUCUGAAUUCAUUCCCAUUUGAACUAAUCAUUUAGAAAAACAUCCAAUCUCGAUGUAAAGGUGUCCAAUGAUGGAGAGUCCACCACAACCCUGGCGGGGCCUCUCUGACUCCUCUUCUCCAUGCCUGGAGGCUCAUCAGCUCUGAUCCAGGACCUGCUCACAGAUGAACAGAACAAUCAUCAGCAUCCUCUGUCUGUUUCAUUCAUCCACUCAUGGUUGUCAUCUCACCGGGCCGGCUCCAGGCACCAGCUGAGCAGCAAGGCUUGCCGGAUCUCUAUCAAGCGUUCUUAAAACGACAGUACCCACCUGCUGAAG